rnacentral:rRNA from 1 species
GAGUUUGAUCGUGGCUCAGAUUGAACGCUGGCGGCAGGCUUAACACAUGCAAGUCGAGCGGGGGAGAUUGCUUCGGUAAUUGACCUAGCGGCGGACGGGUGAGUAAUACUUAGGAAUCUGCCUAUUAAUGGGGGACAACAUCUCGAAAGGGAUGCUAAUACCGCAUACGCCCUACGGGGAAAGCAGGGGAUCACUUGUGACCUUGCGUUAAUAGAUGAGCCUAAGUCGGAUUGGCUAGUUGGUGGGUAAAGGCUACCAAGGCGACGAUCUGUAGCGGGUCUGAGAGGAUGAUCCGCCACACUGGGACUGAGACACGGCCCAGACUCCUACGGGAGGCAGCAGUGGGGAAUAUUGGAC